GGCAUUGAGGUAUUAAAAAUCAUUUAUGAAUUAACACUUGUUCUUUCUCCUAUGCAUUGUUUUACCUAGUUAUAUUGUAUUAUCAUCCUGCACAUUUUUUGCUACCCUCUCUAUCUCAAAUCUCAAUUGAUACCCCUUUAGGAUUUGCUUUGCAAAUUGUUCACUGUGACUUGGUUUUGACUAGAAGUAUCUUGCAUCCAUAUAAAAUAUCCUAAUCUAAGAAAUGUAUUGGAAUCCACCUUUCUCUUCUGAUGACUUGAUCUCUAAUCGCUUAAACUCUUCAAUUUACUCUUACAUACCUG
rnacentral:misc_RNA from 1 species